rnacentral:rRNA from 1 species
AUUGAACGCUGGCGGCAGGCCUAACACAUGCAAGUCGAGCGAGCGGCGGACGGGUGAGUAAUGUAUGGGGACUGCCCGAUAGAGGGGGAUAACUACUGGAAACGGUGGCUAAUACCGCAUACUAUCGGAUAACACAUAUGGGAUUAGCUAGUAGGUGGGGUAAAGGCUCACCUAGGAGACGAUCACUAGCUGGUCUGAGAGGAUGAUCAGCAACACUGGGACUGUGACGCGGCCCAGAAUCCUACGGAGGCAGCAGUGGUGAAUAUUGCACAAUGGGCGCAAGCCUGAUGCAGCCAUGCCGCGUUUAUGAAAAAGGCCUUAGGGUUGUAAAGUACUUUCAGCGGGGGGGCGGUAACCGCAGAAGAAGCACCGGCUAACUCCGUGCCAGCAGCCGCGGUAAUAC